GCCCGCGUAGCUCAGGGGAUAGAGCGUCUGCCUCCGGAGCAGAAGGCCGCAGGUUCGAUUCCUGCCGCGGGCACCC
rnacentral:tRNA from 1 species